GAUGAACGCUGGCGGCGUGCCUAAUACAUGCAAGUCGAGCGAACGGACGAGAAGCUUGCUUCUCUGAUGUUAACGGCGGACGGGUGAGUAACACGUGGAUAACCUACCUAUAAGACUGGGAUAACUUCGGGAAACCGGAGCUAAUACCGGAUAAUAUUUUGAACCGCAUGGUUCAAAAGUGAAAGACGGUCUUGCUGUCACUUAUAGAUGGAUCCGCGCUGCAUUAGCUAGUUGGUAAGGUAACGGCUUACCAAGGCAACGAUGCAUAGCCGACCUGAGAGGGUGAUCGGCCACACUGGAACUGAGACACGGUCCAGACUCCUACGGGAGGCAGCAGUAGGGAAUCUUCCGCAAUGGGCGAAAGCCUGAAGGAGCAACGCCGAGUGAGUGAUGAAGGUCUUCGGAUCGUAAAACUCUGUUAUUAGGGAAGAACAGAUGUGUAAGUAACUGUGCACAUCUUGACGGUACCUAAUCAGAAAGCCACGGCUAACUACGUG
rnacentral:rRNA from 1 species